CCUACGGGUGGCUGCAGUGGGGAAUAUUGCGCAAUGGGCGAAAGCCUGACGCAGCGACGCCGCGUGAGGGAUGAAGGUCUUCGGAUCGUAAACCUCUGUCAGCAGGGAAGAACGGUCACUGUGCUAAUCAGCAGUGAAUUGACGGUACCUGCAAAGGAAGCACCGGCUAACUCCGUGCCAGCAGCCGCGGUAAUACGUAGGUGGCGAGCGUUAUCCGGAAUGAUUGGGCGUAAAGGGUGCGCAGGCGGUCCUGGAAGUCUGGAGUGAAACGGAUGAGCUCAACUCAUGCAUGGCUUCGGAUACUGGAGGACUGGAGAGCAGGAGAGGGCGGUGGAACGCCAUGUGUAGCGGUAAAAUGCGUAGAUAUAUGGAAGAACACCAGUGGCGAAGGCGGCCGCCUGGCCUGUUGCUGACGCUGAGGCACGAAAGCGUGGGGAGCAAAUAGGAUUAGAUACCCUAGUAGUC
rnacentral:rRNA from 1 species